rnacentral:rRNA from 1 species
CAGGGGGCUUCAACCAUGCCAAGUUCGAGGCGAGGACUUCGGGUCCUAGCGGUGGACGGGUGAAGUAACGCGUGGGAAUUAAAAUAAAAAGCCGGAAUAGCCCUGGGAAACUGGGAGUAAUCUUUCAAGCACAAGCAAGGGGAAAGAUUUAUCGGGGAAGGAUCGGCCCGCGUUGGAUUAGGUAGUUGGGGGGGUAACGGCCUUCCAAGCCGACGAUCCAUAGCUGGUUUGAGAGGAUGAUCAGCCACACUGGGACUGAGACACGGCCCAGACUCCUACGGGAGGCAGCAGUGGGGAAUCUUGGACAAUGGGGGAAACCCUGAUCCAGCCAUGCCGCGUGAGCGAUGAAGGCCUUAGGGUUGUAAAGCUCUUUCAGCGGGGAAGAUAAUGACGGUACCCGCAGAAGAAGCCCCGGCUAACUCCGUGCCAGCAGCCGCGGU